AUUGAACGCUGGCGGCAUGCCUUACACAUGCAAGUCGAACGGUAACAGGAAGCAGCUUGCUGCUUCGCUGACGAGUGGCGGACGGGUGAGUAAUGUCUGGGAAACUGCCUGAUGGAGGGGGAUAACUACUGGAAACGGUAGCUAAUACCGCAUAACGUCGCAAGACCAAAGAGGGGGACCUUCGGGCCUCUUGCCAUCAGAUGUGCCCAGAUGGGAUUAGCUGGGGUAGGGUAAUGGCCUACCUGGGCGACGAUCCCUAGCUGGUCUGAGAGGAUGACCAGCCACACUGGAACUGGGACACGGUCCAGACUCCUACGGGAGGCAGCAGUGGGGAAUAUUGCACAAUGGGCGCAAGCCUGAUGCAGCCAUGCCGCGUGUGUGAAGAAGGCCUUCGGGCUGUAAAGCACUUUCAGCGAGGAGGAAGGCAGUAAGGUUAAUAACCUUGCUGAUUGACGUUACUCGCAGAAGAAGCACCGGCUAACUCCGUGCCAGCCGCCGCAGUAA
rnacentral:rRNA from 1 species